rnacentral:pre_miRNA from 1 species
CUGAUUCUGGAUUCAGUCAAGAAAGUAUUUUCUUUACAUACAGUUAAUCUGGAAAAUGGUGUCUUGAUUGAUUCCAGGGUCAG